rnacentral:rRNA from 1 species
UACGAACCGUACGAACGUUAUUCGGAUUCACUGGGCUUAAAGCGUGCGUAGGCGGCUGGGAAAGUUGGGUGUGAAAGCCCUCGGCUCAACCGAGGAAUUGCGCUCAAAACUACCUGGCUUGAGGGAGAUAGAGGUGAGCGGAACUGAUGGUGGAGCGGUGAAAUGCGUUGAUAUCAUCAGGAACACCUGUGGCGAAAGCAGCUCACUGGGUCUUUUCUGACGCUGAGGCACGAAAGCUAGGGGAGCGAACGGGAUUAGAUACCCCGGUAGUCCUAGCUGUAAACGAUGAGCACUGGGUUGAGGGGACUUCCACAUCCUCUCGGCCGUAGCGAAAGUGUUAAGUGCUCCGCCUGGGGAGUAUGGUCGCAAGGCUGAA